AGCCGGUUAGCUCAGUCAGUUGAGCGUAGCGCUAACAACGCUAAGGUCGCGGGUUCGAUUCCCGUUCCGUCCC
rnacentral:tRNA from 1 species